UGAAAUCUUUGCUUUGUAGCUAAAGUCAACAGUGACAGAGUUUGAGCUCAAAUAAAUGCUGUGAUGUCUGGAGCCCUUUGCAGAAGGCAGAAGGCAAGCUUCUACAAUGGGCUUCUGCAGGGCUUGCCAACAAGCAGCGGCUAUUUUUCACAGGGCUCUGCUGAAUGAAGUGAUCCCCACGGCCUGAGCGGAGGAGAGGAGGGAGAGGAAGCCUCAGAGGGAAGAGGGAUAGCUUUGGAGGGGCCUUGCUGAUGCACUCAUGCUCACACAAACUCAAACACAAUGUCCCCUCUCAGCCCUGCACUGUGACCGGCCCGUGGCAUUGCCCAGAUGUUCUUGGAUGUUCAACUUCCUGCUCUCCUCACUUUCAUCUCCCUGCAUCAUUCAAGCUGAAAACUCCUUCCUGUCGAUGUAUUUGGCUAUAUCUGUGUCUGACCUGUCUGCCAUAUGUAAUAUCAAAGCCUCUGUCAGCACAGAGCUGAAUGGGAACAAAAGAGAGGCCUCUAUUAAUGAUUAACUGUUCUAAAAGCCCCGGCUUUUGUAUUCCCAUGGUGCCCAGGCUAUCUGGCCACCAUGUGACAUGCUCACAGCAUUUUUCGAGCAGAUUGAGGGAAAGCUAGUGAGCAAACACAGGUGCUUUGGAGCAGCGGUGCCGACGCUGUCAGGGACAACCACAAACAAGAGCAGCUAUGCCUGGCUAAAUGAAUCCCCACCCCUCCCAGCGCCAUCACCACCUCCUCAACCCCCCGCUCUGUCACCAGCUAACUUGUUUGCUAGCUGCCUAUAGCUUUCUUCUGCAUGGUCUCCGAAAGCCCCCCCCCCUUUCCCUUGCACAAAUGUAAUGACCGCCACAGCCAGGCUCCAGAACUUCUCACACUCUCCAAAGAAACAAACAAAUAAAAGUGAGGACUGCCGACCACUUCUUUGAGGUGAUGGCAUUUGCUGCGGUCAUGACUAGUGGGUGAGCAAACAAAUUAAUGGUGUCCGUGUUUUCACUUUCUAAACUAAACUAAAUGUCUUUUAGUUCAAGUGGGGCAAUACCACUGACCCCGGUGUCAAAUGCUGCGGAAAGGUUGCACACUCUGGCUCUUGAAAUGUUAAGAGCAGGCCAUAAGAAAUUACCCAGGACUUAAGUAUAGCUGUACAGUACAUAACUAGGAUAAUGCCAAAUAAGUUAUCUGAUUAAAAUACAGGCUUAUAGUUUAAAAAGCUCCAUAUUUUGGCCACAAACUGUAACAAAAAGGCCUUUAUAGCUCUUAACCUUUUCAUCAGAGUGAUGCGGGGGGGCUGUGUCGUUCCACUUUGAUAAGACAAUCAGAUGAUAGGAUGGCGUUAUCUUAACACAGCUUUUCCGGCUGGAAGACAAAUGAACAGUGUGUGAUAAAGGGAACAGAAGAUUUAGCUCUUAUUGGCUGGUUCCUCUGAGAAAGGGAAAAAUUAUCAGAGUGGAAAAUUCACAUCAGGUGCUGGUAUUUCAAUUUCAAUUCGGUACUCAAGCCAGGUCACAGGGACAGCUUUAUUUCCUUAUCACUUAAUAUUCCUGUCAUCUCAGGCAGGUUUUUUGGUUCUUAAAAAUUGCAUUUUGAACCUGUAAAGCAGCCAUCGAAGGAUAAAGGGGAUAAAAGUGUUUCAUAAAAAAACAGAAAAAGCAGAAAAAAAGGAUGGUUUCUUUUUCAACUUCCCAAUGAUCAAUUAAACAUAGGUUUUCCUGUGGGUUUUCUGACUUUUACAGGCUAAAUCGUAUUGUAAGAAAAAUCUGAGGAUUCACUCUUUUGUUUUUUUUUGCCAUCUCCAUGAGAAAAGAUUGGAUAAUAUUAUUGCUCCCUGGAAUAAAAUGUUAUCACUGUGAUGGAAAAAAAUGGAAAAUUAUGAAAACAAAAAACAAAAACAAAAAAA